CCUACGGGAGGCAGCAGUGAGGAAUAUUGGUCAAUGGGCGCGAGCCUGAACCAGCCAAGUCGCGUGAAGGAUGACUGCCCUACGGGUUGUAAACUUCUUUUAUCAAGGAAUAAAGUGCGGCACGUGUGCCUUUUUGUAUGUACCUUAUGAAUAAGGAUCGGCUAACUCCGUGCCAGCAGCCGCGGUAAUCCGGAGGAUCCGAGCGUUAUCCGGAUUUAUUGGGUUAAAGGGGAGCGUAGAUGGGUUGUUAAGUCAGUUGUAAAAGUUUGCGGCUCAACCGUAAAAUUGCAUUUAAUCCGGGAAGCUUGAGUACAGUUGAGGUAGGCGGAAUGCGUGGUGUAGCGGUGAAAUGCUUAGAUAUCACGAAGAACUCCGAUUGCGAAGGCAGCUUACUAAACUGCAACUGACAUUGAUGCUCGAAAGUGUGGGUAUCAAACAGGAUUAGAUACCCGAGUAGUC
rnacentral:rRNA from 1 species